AAUCAACGCUGGCGGCGUGCCUAACACAUGCAAGUCGCACGAGAAAGGGGAGCAAUCCCUGAGUAAAGUGGCGCACGGGUGAGUAACACGUGACUAACCUACCCUCGAGUGGGGAAUAACCUAGAGAAAUCUGGGCUAAUACCGCAUAACACUUACGAGUCAAAGCAGCAAUGCGCUUGAGGAGGGGUCGCGGCAGAUUAGCUAGUUGGCGGGGUAAUGGCCCACCAAGGCAAUGAUCUGUAUCCGGCCUGAGAGGGCGCACGGACACACUGGAACUGAAACACGGUCCAGACUCCUACGGGAGGCAGCAGGUGGGGAAUUUUGCGCAAGUGGGGGAAACCCUGACGCAGCAACGCCGCGUGGAGGAU
rnacentral:rRNA from 1 species